rnacentral:rRNA from 1 species
GCGGAGGAAAAGAAACCAACAGGGAUUGCCUCAGUAACGGCGAGUGAAGCGGCAACAGCUCAAAUUUGAAAUCUGACCCCUUCGGGGCCCGAGUUGUAAUUUGUAGAGGGUGUUUCGGGCGCGGCGCCGGUCUAAGUUCCUUGGAACAGGACGUCACAGAGGGUGAGAAUCCCGUAUGUGACCGGCGAUCAAGCCCAUGUGAAGCCCCUUCGACGAGUCGAGUUGUUUGGGAAUGCAGCUCAAAAUGGGUGGUAAAUUCCAUCUAAAGCUAAAUAUUGGCCGGAGACCGAUAGCGGACAAGUAGAGUGAUCGAAAGAUGAAAAGCACUUUGGAAAGAGAGUCAAACAGUACGUGAAAUUGUUGAAAGGGAAGCGCUUGCAAUCAGACCGGUCCGGGGGUGAUCAGCCGCUGCUCGUCAGCUGGUGCACUCGCCCCCGAUCCGGCCAGCAUCGGUUUGGGCGGUGGGAGAAAAGCCCCGGGAAUGUAGCUUCUUUCGGGGAGUCUUAUAGCCCGGGGCGCAAUGCCGCCCGCCCGGACCGAGGACCGCGCUUCGGCUAGGAUGCUGGCGUAAUGGUUGCAAGCGACCCGUCUUGAAACACGGACCAAGGAGUCUAACAUCUAUGCGAGUGUUUGGGUGUCAAACCCAGGCGCGGAAUGAAAGUGAACGGAGGUGGGAGCCCGUCGCACGGCGCACCAUCGACCGAUCCAGAUGUCUUCGGAUGGAUUUGAGUAUGAGCAUAGCUGUUGGGACCCGAAAGAUGGUGAACUAUGCCCGGAUAGGGUGAAGCCAGAGGAAACUCUGGUGGAGGCUCGCAGCGGUUCUGACGUGCAAAUCGAUCGUCAAAUCUAGGCAUAGGGGCGAAAGACCA